rnacentral:rRNA from 1 species
ACGAACGCUGGCGGCACGCUUAACACAUGCAAGUCGAACGAGAGAAGAGAAGCUUGCUUUUCUGAUCUAGUGGCGGACGGGUGAGUAACACGUGAGCAAUCUGCCUUUCAGAGGGGGAUACCGAUUGGAAACGAUCGUUAAUACCGCAUAACAUAAUUGAACCGCAUGAUUUGAUUAUCAAAGAUUUAUCGCUGAAAGAUGAGCUCGCGUCUGAUUAGCUAGUUGGUAAGGUAACGGCUUACCAAGGCGACGAUCAGUAGCCGGACUGAGAGGUUGAUCGGCCACAUUGGGACUGAGACACGGCCCAGACUCCUACGGGAGGCAGCAGUGGGGAAUAUUGCACAAUGGAGGAAACUCUGAUGCAGCGAUGCCGCGUGAGGGAAGAAGGUUUUAGGAUUGUAAACCUCUGUCUUCAGGGACGAAAAAUGACGGUACCUGAGGAGGAAGCUCCGGCUAACUACGUGCCAGCAGCCGCGGUAAUACGUAGGGAGCGAGCGUUGUCCGGAAUUACUGGGUGUAAAGGGAGCGUAGGCGGGAUCGCAAGUCAGAUGUGAAAACUAUGGGCUUAACCCAUAAACUGCAUUUGAAACUGUGGUUCUUGAGUGAAGUAGAGGUAAGCGGAAUUCCUAGUGUAGCGGUGAAAUGCGUAGAUAUUAGGAGGAACAUCAGUGGCGAAGGCGGCUUACUGGGCUUUAACUGACGCUGAGGCUCGAAAGCGUGGGGAGCAAACAGGAUUAGAUACCCUGGUAGUCCACGCCGUAAACGAUGAUUACUAGGUGUGGGGGGACUGACCCCUUCCGUGCCGCAGCAAACGCAAUAAGUAAUCCACCUGGGGAGUACGACCGCAAGGUUGAAACUCAAAGGAAUUGACGGGGGCCCGCACAAGCAGUGGAGUAUGUGGAUUAAUUCGAAGCAACGCGAAGAACCUUACCAGGUCUUGACAUCGUAUGCAUAGCUCAGAGAUGAGUGAAAUCUCUUCGGAGACAUAUAGACAGGUGGUGCAUGGUUGUCGUCAGCUCGUGUCGUGAGAUGUUGGGUUAAGUCCCGCAACGAGCGCAACCCUUACUGUUAGUUGCUACGCAAGAGCACUCUAGCAGGACUGCCGUUGACAAAACGGAGGAAGGUGGGGAUGACGUCAAAUCAUCAUGCCCCUUAUGACCUGGGCCUCACACGUACUACAAUGGCUGUCAAUAGAGGGAAGCAAAGCCGCGAGGUGGAGCAAACCCCUAAAAGCAGUCUUAGUUCGGAUUGUAGGCUGCAACCCGCCUACAUGAAGUCGGAAUUGCUAGUAAUCGCAGAUCAGCAUGCUGCGGUGAAUACGUUCCCGGGCCUUGUACACACCGCCCGUCACGCCAUGGGAGUCGGUAACACCCGAAGCCUGUAGUCUAACCGCAAGGAGGACGCAGUCGAAGGUGGGAUUGAUGACUGGGGUG